rfam:Anaerosporomusa subterraneum strain RT4 RT4_contig_16, whole genome shotgun sequence.
AGCAGCAAUGCUUCUGGGGUUGAGGACCGGCAUAAUUCGAGUCAGGUCUAGUCGAACUACCUGGAAAGGUAGGCCAUAGCGCGUAAAAGCCGCGUAGGCGAAAGGCAGAGCUCGAUGGCUGGAAUCCAGAGUACCACGGGACACGAGAAACCCUGUGGGAAGCAGGGGGGACCACCCUCCAAGGCUAAAUACUCGUUGGCGACCGAUAGCGCAUAGUACCGUGAGGGAAAGGUGAAAAGCACCCCGGGAGGGGAGUGAAAGAGAACCUGAAACCGUAUGUCUACAAACAGUCAAAGACCGCAAGGUCGAUGGCGUGCCUAUUGAAGAAUGAACCGGCGAGUUACAGGUACUAGCGAGGUUAAGUGGGAAACACGGAGCCGAAGCGAAAGCGAGUCUGAAUAGGGCGUAUAGUUAGUAUUUGUAGACCCGAAACCGUAGUGAUCUAUCCAUGGCCAGGGUGAAACGUAGGUAAAAUUACGUGGAGGCCCGAACUCGUGAGCGUUGAAAAGCUUUGGGAUGAGUUGUGGAUAGGGGUGAAAAGCCAAUCGAACACGGAGAUAGCUGGUUCUCCCCGAAAUAGCUUUAGGGCUAGCCUCAAGGCAAGACUAUAGACGGUAGAGCUCUGAUCGGGCUAGGGGCCCUUUGGGUUACCGAACCCAGUCAAACUGCGAAUGACUAUAGUUAUCCUUGGGAGUCAGACUGCGAGUGCUAAGAUCCGUAGUCAAGAGGGAAACAGCCCAGACCAUCAGCUAAGGUCCCCAAUGCCGUGCUAAGUGGCAAAGGAUGUGGAACUUCACAAACAACCAGGAUGUUGGCUUAGAAGCAGCCACCAUUGAAAGAGUGCGUAAUAGCUCACUGGUCGAGAGGUUCUGCGCCGAAGAUGUCCGGGGCUCAAGCACGGAACCGAAGCUAUGGCAAGUUCUAACGAACUUGGGUAGGGGAGCGUUCUUAUUGGAUUGAAGCGGUACCGUAAGGAUCCGUGGACUGGUAAGAAGAGAGAAUGCCGGUAUGAGUAGCGAAAAGACAAGUGAGAAUCUUGUCCACCGAAAGCCUAAGGUUUCCUGAGGAAGGCUCGUCCGCUCAGGGUAAGUCGGGACCUAAGCCGAGGCGUAGAUGCGUAGGCGAUGGACAACUGGUUGAUAUUCCAGUACCGCUUUAAGUCGUUUGAGUGAUGGAGUGACACAGUAGGGUAGGCAAUCGCGAGGAUGGAAAUUCGCGUCUAAGCUUGUAGGGUGUUGUGUAGGCAAAUCCGCACAACUGGAACCUGAGAAGUGAUGGGUAGCUGUCCGUGAGGACGGCGAACUUGUUGAUCCCAGACUGUCAAGAAAAGCUUCUAGCGAGACAAGAGGCGCCCGUACCGCAAACCGACACAGGUAGGCGGGGAGAGAAUCCUAAGGUGCGCGGGAAAACCCUCGUUAAGGAACUCGGCAAAAUGUCCCCGUAACUUCGGGAAAAGGGGAGCCUGUCGGUGUGUAGGUCAGAAACGACCGAAGCAUGGGCAGGUUGCAAAAAAGAGGCCCAAGCGACUGUUUACCACAAACACAGGUGCCUGCUAAAGCGAAAGCUGACGUAUAGGUGCUGACACCUGCCCGGUGCCGGAAGGUUAAGGGGAGCGGUAAGGCGCAAGCCGAAGCUGUGAACUGAAGCCCCGGUAAACGGCGGCCGUAACUAUAACGGUCCUAAGGUAGCGAAAUUCCUUGUCGGGUAAGUUCCGACCCGCACGAAAGGUGUAACGACUUGGGCACUGUCUCAACGAGGGACCCGGUGAAAUUGAAGUACCUGUGAAGAUGCAGGUUACCCGCGACUGGACAGAAAGACCCCAUGGAGCUUUACUGUAACCUGACAUUGGAUUCUGGUGAAUGACGUACAGGAUAGGUGGGAGACUGAGAAGCUGGGACGCAAGUCUCGGUGGAGUCACCCUUGGGAUACCACCCUUCAUUCACUGGAAUUCUAACUGAAGUAGUAACGACACUCAGGACCGUGUCAGGCGGGCAGUUUGACUGGGGCGGUCGCCUCCGAAAGAGUAACGGAGGCGCCCAAAGGUUCCCUCAGCGCGGUUGGAAAUCGCGCGCAGAGUGUAAAGGCAGAAGGGAGCUUGACUGCGAGACAGACAAGUCGAGCAGGGACGAAAGUCGGGCUUAGUGAUCCGGUGGCGCCGAGUGGAAGGGCCAUCGCUCAACGGAUAAAAGCUACCCUGGGGAUAACAGGCUUAUCUCCCCCAAGAGUCCAUAUCGACGGGGAGGUUUGGCACCUCGAUGUCGGCUCAUCACAUCCUGGGGCUGAAGUAGGUCCCAAGGGUUGGGCUGUUCGCCCAUUAAAGUGGUACGUGAGCUGGGUUCAGAACGUCGUGAGACAGUUCGGUCCCUAUCCAUCGCGGGCGCAAGAGACUUGAAGGGAGCUGCUCCUAGUACGAGAGGACCGGAGUGGACGAACCGCUGGUGUACCAGUUAUCCCGCCAGGGGUACAGCUGGGUAGCUACGUUCGGAACGGAUAAACGCUGAAAGCAUCUAAGCGUGAAACCGGCCUUAAGAUGAGGUCUCUCAUUCUAACGAAGUAAGACCCCUUGUAGAUGACAAGGUUGAUAGGCCAGGUGUGGAAGUCCUG